UACCCCUGCUGGUUACAGAACAGGGAGGAAGGACAAACUGGGUGUUGUGACUGACACUUGGCAGGUGGCAGGCUUCAAGUAUUUCAGAGGGGGGCUCAGAGAAGCGAAGAAACAGACCUAUUUUGUUUGAUGAUUAAGCCAGAUUUCUGUUGGUUUGUGAAAUUGACAAGCUGAUACCAAAGAACUCAAAAUAAUAAAGAGAAGAGAUCAUGAGAAGUCACAGGGGAUUCCUGUUUCAG
rnacentral:lncRNA from 9 species